AAAGAAAUAGUAUUAGCAGUUUUAAAUCUGGAUUCAUAGUAAGAGCUACAAUCAGUGACCAAGGUUCUGCCAAUGUUGCUGCUAUUAAGUCAUUAAUAUCAGAUUCUAAUGCUGAACUCCUACGUAGUAACAAAUAUACCAAUGACAUCUGUUAUAAAAUCGGCCCAAACCAACUGUACCAUAUCUAUGAUGUACCUCAUUUAUUGAAAUGUUUUCGCAAUAAUUUUCAGAAAAAAAACCUACUCAUUGGCAAACCAAAAGGGCAAAAGUGGGAGUAUAUUGAGAGACUUUAUAAAGUGGAUGGUUUUGGUGGCAGAGCAAGAAGCACCAAACUUACUGAGAAGCACAUAAAUCCAACUUCAUAUGACAAAAUGAAGUAACAAUUUGACAUCGUCGGGAGAAUUAAUGGACUUCAGGAUCUUUAGGUCAUCAGCAAACAUGAAAGGUGUGGAAUGAUGCAAGCAAUUGAUAAUGUCAUUUAUGAACAUAUUAAAAAUAACAGUCCCAAAUGGGAGCCCUGUGGGCACCCCAGAAGCAAUAUGAUGGAAAUUGGAACUAAAACCAUUAAGAACCACAUGGUCAAAUUUGCAGCCCAAGUUUUUAGCCGGCAAGUGGCUACAUCACUAGAAAUCCAGAUGAAGUCUCUGCUAUCUCCAGGAUCAUGAUUACAUAAGUUUAAAUGAAGACAUUGGAAAUGGUUUGUUCACAGCAGAAAUUCUUCUUUUAUAAAUAAUUUGUUUGAUAGUUUAAAUGGUUUUGGUCAUUAUGGGAAUAAGUUAAAACAUGCUCUUUCAUAUAAUUCGGAGCACAUUGCAUUCUGGAAUGAUGCUGUGAAAAGCUAGCUUCAAUGCGCUUUGACGCUUCCAAUGAAAGGGAAAGGAAGCCUUUAUCACUGAAGCAUUUUGAACAUAAUAUAAAAACAAUAAAACAUUUGUGGUCAGAUCUGCUGAGAAUUGAUGGUGUUAAAUUUUUAAGUCUUAGACGUCUUAAUCAAGAUCCGAUAGAAAACUUUUUUGGUCAAAUAAGGGCACAUGGUAAUUUUAGUACAAAUCCUAAUUGUACUCAUUUUGUAUCGGCUUUUAAAACCUUGUUGAUUAACAACAUUACUACCGGUAAAUCUUUAUACACUAAUUGUUCUGAUGAUGAUGACAAAAUGUUGGGAACAUUAAAACAUUUAGUCAGCCACCAAAAAUAUGGUUCAUACACUGAUAGUCUUCAAUGUAAUGAAACUAACUUUAUAGAAAUUUCUAUACCUAACGAGAAUAUAUUCCAACAUAAGUCUGUACCAUAUAUUGCUGGUGCAGUUUGUCGUUUUUUGAUGUCCAAUUUGAACUGCAAAGAUUGUGAUAAUUGUACAAAAGCACUAUUAUCUCAGAGAGAGUCAUUUCACGAAUUAAUUAAUUUAAGAGAAUAUAGUUCCAAUGUAGAUAGGUUAUGUUAUCCUUCUAAUAAUUUUAGUCAAAUGGUCUGGCAGAGUAUUUACAUUAUUGACAAGAUGAUGCCAUUUCUUUGCAGUGUUUAUAUUUAUUCUGACUUAAUAAGUAAUUUAAUAAAAUAUAUUGACACUACUUGGUACAACUGUAAUAUUCACAAAACGGCUGUUAUUAAAGCUUUUGGUCCUACAUAGUUAGAAUGCAAGUUAAGCAGUGGUGUAUUAAUUUUAAUAAUAGAAUGAAUAAUAUUGAUUCAAGGCCUAAAGAUAUAGAAAUGGAAACUCUAAUCCGUGAGAAAGUCACAAAAGGAUUGAGUUAUAGAUCACAAAGAAGGCGUAGUUCCUAAUCUCACUUAAUUAAAGUUCUUCAUAGUAUUUUGUCCACAAUUAUUACGAUUUUUGCAAAUGAAAUUGAUGUUUUUUAAAGUGUAUUACCCACAUUUUUGUGGUUUUAAAUUAGCUAUUAUGCUUUCUGUUUAUUGUAUAAAAUCAUAGUAGUUUUUAAAAUAAUCUUCAUUAUGGUGACUGUUAAGCAAAUAGUUGUUAAAAUCUUAUAUACAUAAUUAUGCUUGUACAACCUAAAAUGAGCCUACCAGAUAAUUGUCAAGUAAAUAAAUUACAUUUCUACAAAAAGUAUUAUGUGUAUGUUUCCCAAAUUGUUCAUAUUUUUAUUGAUUUACAUUGUGCAGAAUUAGUAAUUUUACCUUUAAUUUAAUAUUAUAUUUUCAUUAUAAUGUAUUCAACAUUUUCUGUAUUUUGUAGCAUUUUUAGUAGCAAAUGUGCCAUUAUAUGAUAUUGCAAAAUGUUAAAUUAUGCAUGGAAUGCUUUUCGUGAGAGAAUAAUCAUAUUCAAAUAAAUUCUUAGUUUUGUGUUGUUAGAUUAGUUAUUAUACCUAAUGCAUAGUGUAUAAUAGUGAAUAGCUUAAGUAUGGCUCUUUAUAUUGUGUAAAAUUAUAGUGCUAGUCUUCACAAUUAUCUUAAUUUUGCUAACUGUUAAGCAAGCCGUUGUUAAAAUCUCAUAUGCAUAAUUAUGCUUGAACACGGUAAAAUAAAAAUGUUUAUGUUUCCAAAAUAGUU